UAGUGUCGGUGCAAAAAAGGACGCAUUUCUCAUUUGGAUCUUGCGUAGUUACUUUGAAAAAGCUCUUUAGCUAAAUAUUAAUGUUAGGAAAAGAUAACAUCUAGGUAUUCAUCUGCUAAAGUUAUCUAGUGUAAAUACAUUCUUACAUACGAUACGAAACUUCUUGGUACGUUACUUGUUUCAAAAUUGAUUGACUUUUUCCUCUAAAACUUAUCUUGACACUUUUGACAUCAUUAGAAUAGUAUCUAAUAAAAAGCUAAGCAUUGGAAUAUAAAUGGUAUAAAAUUACGAAGUGUCUAUUUUUUUAAUUAAUUUUUCCAUCGCACAUCAUCACCAUGUUGGUUAAGCCGCGUUUAAAAUGUGAGGGUUGCAUCAAGCCGGCGGCACGGCGUCUCGGUCUGUUCCAAGCAAAAGACGAAUACGAGUGCUAUGCAGAGAGUUACGUCAAAUGUUUCUGGGGGCUUUGCGAUCUACAUAAAAGCCACGAGAAUAUUCACCCCAUAAAAGAAAUCAAGAUAGUAACUGAUCAGCCAAGACCACAAGAGUUGCCAUACAACAAUGCCAGGAUAAUGCAUGAUAUUGCUGUGACAAGUUGAAAGAGAGCAACCUCUACAAAUAAUAACAACUGCUUACAUAGUAAAAAUAUAUUAUAUUUACAAGUAUCAAGUAAUAAAAUUAAGUUAUAGUCAUAUACUA